rnacentral:rRNA from 1 species
AUUGAACGCUGGCGGCAUGCUUUACACAUGCAAGUCGAACGGUAACAGGCCUUCGGGUGCUGACGAGUGGCGAACGGGUGAGUAAUGCAUCGGAACGUGCCCAGAGGUGGGGGAUAACGCAGCGAAAGCUGUGCUAAUACCGCAUGUGAUCUGAGGAUGAAAGCGGGGGACCAGGAGGCAUUGUUUGGCCUCGCGCCUUUGGAGCGGCCGAUGUCAGAUUAGGUAGUUGGUGGGGUAAAGGCCUACCAAGCCGACGAUCUGUAGCUGGUCUGAGAGGACGACCAGCCACACUGGGACUGAGACACGGCCCAGACUCCUACGGGAGGCAGCAGUGGGGAAUUUUGGACAAUGGGCGCAAGCCUGAUCCAGCAAUGCCGCGUGCGGGAAGAAGGCCUUCGGGUUGUAAACCGCUUUUGUACGGAACGAAAAGGCUCUGGCUAAUACCUGGGGCUGAUGACGGUACCGUAAGAAUAAGCACCGGCUAACUACGUG